GUUGCAGGGUAUAGACCCGAAACCCGGUGAUCUAGCCAUGGGCAGGUUGAAGGUUGGGUAACACUAACUGGAGGACCGAACCGACUAAUGUUGAAAAAUUAGCGGAUGACUUGUGGCUGGGGGUGAAAGGCCAAUCAAACCGGGAGAUAGCUGGUUCUCCCCGAAAGCUAUUUAGGUAGCGCCUCGUGAAUUCAUCUCCGGGGGUAGAGCACUGUUUCGGCAAGGGGGUCAUCCCGACUUACCAACCCGAUGCAAACUGCGAAUACCGGAGAAUGUUAUCACGGGAGACACACGGCGGGUGCUAACGUCCGUCGUGAAGAGGGAAACAACCCAGACCGCCAGCUAAGGUCCCAAAGUCAUGGUUAAGUGGGAAACGAUGUGGGAAGGCCCAGACAGCCAGGAUGUUGGCUUAGAAGCAGCCAUCAUUUAAAGAAAGCGUAAUAGCUCACUGGUCGAGUCGGCCUGCGCGGAAGAUGUAACGGGGCUAAACCAUGCACCGAAGCUGCGGCAGCGACGCUUAUGCGUUGUUGGGUAGGGGAGCGUUCUGUAAGCCUGUGAAGGUGUGCUGUGAGGCAUGCUGGAGGUAUCAGAAGUGCGAAUGCUGACAUAAGUAACGAUAAAGCGGGUGAAAAGCCCGCUCGCCGGAAGACCAAGGGUUCCUGUCCAACGUU
rnacentral:rRNA from 1 species